rnacentral:rRNA from 1 species
AAUCUUCCGCAAUGGACGAAAGUCUGACGGAGCAACGCCGCGUGUACGACGAAGGCCUUCGGGUUGUAAAGUACUGUCUUCAGGGACGAAUGGCAGGUAUGAGAAUAUUGUAUCUGCAUGACGGUACCUGAGGAGGAAGCCCCGGCUAACUACGUGCCAGCCGCCGCGGUAAUACGUAGGGGGCAAGCGUUGUCCGGAAUCAUUGGGCGUAAAGGGCGCGUAGGCGGAUAUUUAAGUCUGGUGUGAAAACCUGGGGCUCAACCCUGGGACUGCACCGGAAACUGGAUAUCUUGAGGACAGGAGAGGAAAGUGGAAUUCCACGUGUAGCGGUGAAAUGCGUAGAUAUGUGGAGGAACACCAGUGGUGAAGGCGACUUUCUGGACUGUAACUGACGCUGAGGCGCGAAAGCGUGGGGAGCAAACAGG